rnacentral:lncRNA from 1 species
GGAGAUCCGACAAUGGCCGGCGAUGGGGUUCGACCGGCGGUGGCUAGCAGCGGACGGCCGGCGGCAGGGUUCGGCCGGGGAGAAUCAAGAAGAGAUCGGAAAACAGGGAGAUUCUUUCGCGACUGAUUUUUGGCAAAAACGGUGGCCGACGGCGAGGCUUUGGGCCAGGGGAGAAAGGGAAGAGGGAGAGGAAGAAGGGGAGGGGCUUACCUUGCUCCGGCGGUUGAGAAGAGCUCCGGCGAACCCCUUUUUCCCAUCUAAGAACCUGCGGAUCCUCUUGGAAAAAUCCCUUAAAUUUCUAAAAAAAUCUUUCCAAAAUCAAUUGUAGAGACAUAAGGGAGGGAAAGAGGAUUUUAU